CCCUUAGAUGUCCUGGGCCGCACGCGCGCUACACUGAGUGUCUGAGAUACGAGUCUGCCUGGUCCGGCAAGGUCUAGGUAAUCGCUAAAAGACACAUCAUGCUUGGGAUAGAUUAUUGCAAAUAUUAAUCUUGAACGAGGAAUUCCUAGUAAGCGCAAGUCAACAGCUUGCGUUUAUUACGUCCCUGCCCUUUGUACACACCGCCCGUCGCUACUACUGAUUGGAUGUUUAAGCGAGGUUCUCGAACUGCUAGCGACUUAGCUUCGGUGAGGUCGCAGUGUGGGAAGUGAACCUAGCUUUGGUGUCUAGAGGAAGUAAAAGUCGUAAC
rnacentral:rRNA from 1 species